rnacentral:rRNA from 1 species
CAGUCGCCGCGGGAAUACGAAGGGGGCUAGCGUUGUUCGGAUUUACUGGGCGUAAGGCGCACGUAGGCGGAUUCUUAAGUCAGAGGUGAAAUCCCAAGGCUCAACCUUGGAACUGCCUUUGAUACUGGGGAUCUUGAGUUCGGGAGAGGUGAGUGGAACUGCGAGUGUAGAGGUGAAAUUCGUAGAGAUCGGGAGGAACACCAGUGGCGAAGGCGACUCUCUGGUCUGUAACUGACGCUGAGGAGCGAAAGCGUGGGGAGCAAACAGGAUUAGAUACCCCUGUAGUCCCUGUCUCUUAUAC